UAUAAAGUUUGAUUUUUCGUCUUAUUUAAAAUUUUUCAAUGAUUAUUAUUAUUAUUAUUUAGUGAUAAAACAUGAAUAAUACUUUAUAAGUGACUAAUUUUAAAUUCUUUUCAUAAAUUUUUUUAAUAAGACAUACGGUCAAACGUUGGAUACAGAAACCCA
rfam:Oryza sativa (indica cultivar-group) chromosome 5, whole genome shotgun sequence.